UACGUAGGGUGCGAGCGUUGUCCGGAAUUAUUGGGCGUAAAGAGCUUGUAGGCGGUUUGUCGCGUCUGCUGUGAAAUUUCGGGGCUCAACCCCGAACUUGCAGUGGGUACGGGCAGACUAGAGUGUGGUAGGGGAGACUGAAUUCCUGGUGUAGCGGUGAAAUGCGCAGAUAUCAGGAGGAACACCGAUGGCGAAGGCAGAUCUCUGGGCCGUAACUGACGCUGAGGAGCGAAAGCAUGGGGAGCGAACAGG
rnacentral:rRNA from 1 species